rnacentral:rRNA from 1 species
UACGGGGGGGGUAAGCGUUGUUCGGAAUUACUGGGCGUAAAGGGCUCGUAGGCGGCCAACUAAGUCAUACGUGAAAUCCCUCAGCUUAACUGGGGAACUGCGUGUGAUACUGGAUGGCUUGGAUUUGGGAGAGGGAUGCGGAAUUCCAGGUGUAGCGGUGAAAUGCGUAGAUAUCUGGAGGAACACCGGUGGCGAAGGCGGCAUCCUGGACCAAUAUUGACGCUGAGGAGCGAAAGCCAGGGAGCAAAGCGGG